rnacentral:sRNA from 1 species
AUGAUCUAGAAUUGCAUGACUUCGAUGUCACAUCUUCCGCCUGUGAUGUCACAUUUUCCAAUGGAUCUGGGCACGGGUCAGCCGCCUUUCUUCUUCUUCCUCAUCAAUUCAGAGUAACAAGCUACCAAUAUCCGUCACAUUUCAGAGUUGUUCAGAAAUAGGGGGAUUGUUUCUUUCUCUGUUUAUUGCUUCAAAUGACAGAAAAUACCCAUGUUCUUUCUUUCCGGGUUUUCUUGAAUCUGCUGUGAAAAGAUCCAAGCAUUCAUGAAGCUUGAGCAUUUUCAGCUGCAACAUAAAUUUCAGCAAGCCUCAUAUGUUGAUCAAUUGAGCUCUCAGAAAUUUCUGGUGAAGAGUUAAGAUUAUAUAAGGGAUUGGAGAGAAUGGAGUUUCUUGCGGCUUCUUUGAAGGGCAAGUGGGAGAUGAUGAUCAGAAGCAGAGGUUUGGGUAACUUUGAGAGAGAAGAAGAGAUUUCUUGUGGUGCAAUUUUCGAGGGGAGAGGCGGUUAUUGGCACCCAGUGGUAUUCAUUUGUUUAGGUUCUUGCAGCAUUGAAGACAUCUUGGUCUUGCAGUUUCAUAUCCGUUUCAAAACUCUAGCUAGUUCAAACUUCACUUGGCUACACCAAGUUCAGUUUGAAGGGGGAGUAAUAACAGAAAUGUUUAGUAUAAUAACAGAAAUGCCACAUGGCACUAUUAUAGUAGUGGAGUUUGUUAGUAUAAUUAGAUAUUGUAAUUGAGAUACAUGGCUAUAUAAAGGAUUGUAUAGCUAUCAUUUCCUUAAGUUCAUUUGUAUACAUUUUCUCUA